GUCAGGUGUGGUGGUGUGCACCUGUAAUCCCAGCUACUUGGGAGGCUGAGGCAGGAGAAUUGCUUGAACCCCGGGGCCAGAGGUUGCAGUGAGCCAAGAUCGUGCCACUGCACUCCAGCCUGGGUGACAGAGUGGGGCUCCGUCUCAAAACCAAACAAAAAACUGAGAGUGGAUUUUGUAAGAAAUAGCAAGUCACACUGGAGUGAUAGGUACAAAACAAAAAACAGAUAAGAAUUUUAGCUUAAAAUAUAUGUUUUUUGUUUUUUUUUUUUUUGAGACGGAGUCUCAGUUUGUCGCCCAGGCUGGAGUGCAGUGGCGCGAUCUUGGCUCACUGCAACC
rnacentral:lncRNA from 10 species